ensembl:lncRNA
CAAGGUUAUUUCUGAAUCCAGCACCUGGGCCUGGCUAAGAGAAGAUUACCUUGGAAAGAAAGGAUUAGAGGGUACACUGAAAUAAAUGAAUGGCUGACAUGGGGAUUUAGGAAGCAAUCACCUGCUCUCUGUAUGCGCUAUGCCAGAUACCAGCAAGGAUACAGAGAUCAAUAAGACACACAACACAACAUUUGCAAAGCAAAAUUGUUGGGAUUUUUACAGAGUGAAAGACCCUCUGGAGCUUUGCAGGAGUCCUGUAGACUGCCCCAGGAUAAACUGUUUAAGAGUUGGACCAAUAUCUCCUGGAUCUGAAGGAGGAGGAAGACUCCAGCUGCUGUCUGACAGUCACACACGCAGCAUCCUGGUCAACAGAAGCUGAGGAGCCCUUCGAGAGAUGCCUCAGCUAGAAGGAUAUGUGUUGAAGCUGGGUCCUGCCUGUGUCCUUUAUUAAUUUGGGGUCAUCUGAAGGACAAGCUACAAAAACAUCCACAAUAAACAUUCUGGCCACUCCUCUGAGCAAAAAUCUACUGCUUGUCUUUCUUACAAAUGACAUGCAGGAGAUAAAGGCAGCAGCAAGGCAUCAAUUUAUAAAAAUGAGAUUCUAAAAAUAAAUAGUGUACAGUGGUGAAGGCUGGCAGAAUGACAAAGGCAGGGGGAGGG